rnacentral:rRNA from 1 species
UACGUAGGGUGCGAGCGUUGUCCGUAAUUAUUGGGCGUAAAGAGCUCGUAGGCGGCUUGUCGCGUCGGAUGUGAAAGCCCGGGGCUUAACUCCGGGUCUGCAUUCGAUACGGGCAGGCUAGAGUUCGGUAGGGGAGAUCGGAAUUCCUGGUGUAGCGGUGAAAUGCGCAGAUAUCAGGAGGAACACCGGUGGCGAAGGCGGAUCUCUGGGCCGAUACUGACGCUGAGGAGCGAAAGCGUGGGGAGCGAACAGG